AACGAACGCUGGCGGCAUGCCUAACACAUGCAAGUCGAACGAGAUCCUUCGGGGUCUAGUGGCGCACGGGUGCGUAACGCGUGGGAAUCUGCCCUUAGGUUCGGAAUAACAGUUAGAAAUGACUGCUAAUACCGGAUGAUGACGUUAAGUCCAAAGAUUUAUCGCCUGAGGAUGAGCCCGCGUAGGAUUAGCUAGUUGGUGUGGUAAAGGCGCACCAAGGCGACGAUCCUUAGCUGGUCUGAGAGGAUGAUCAGCCACACUGGGACUGAGACACGGCCCAGACUCCUACGGGAGGCAGCAGUGGGGAAUAUUGGACAAUGGGCGCAAGCCUGAUCCAGCAAUGCCGCGUGAGUGAUGAAGGCCUUAGGGUUGCAAAGCUCUUUUACCCGGGAUGAUAAUGACAGUACCGGGAGAAUAAGCCCCGGCUAACUCCGUG
rnacentral:rRNA from 1 species